CUAAGACCCAAAUGACAACGCUGAUUCCCGCAAACAUUGGCUCUACCAUUGAUUUAGCAGCACAAGAAAAGAAUCUCGAAUGCGUAACUGUGGAAAGUGUUUCAUUGCGCGGCAACUCUUCUUGGAACAGAUGCUUGGCGUAGUCAUGCCCCCCUCAAACCAAGUAAAAUUUAUGUGCGUUCAAUGCACGAUAAACGCUUCUGUUUGCGCGUUGACUGCCGAAACUGCCUUUUGCGUCAACGUAAACCGGGGGUACAACAUGAUGUCUCGGCACUCUCGAUUUCGCCCUGUUGAUUUCUGCCAUGUUUGCAUUUUGAGUCAAUCAUAAAAGGCGCUGACCACCUUAGUGAGUCAAUCGGAGCUGGCAUGAUGGCGAAUUUGACAAUAUGACGGAAUUCGACUGUGUCGAGUGUUGUCCAGAAUAGCGCCCCCCUGUUUUCAAUGUAGUUUAAAUGAUAGAGUGGUUGUAAGAAAAGGCCCUGACCAGUCGUAAAACCAUUCUUAGCAAGUGCGGCGACCAGUUACAAACGUGGCAGAGAAUUCUCGACAGCGAGAAGUUUAAGGAAUUCAAUCUUUUGGUUUGGUCUUGUUUUCUUCCAUCUUCAUUCGUGUACACACGAGCAGCAAUUGCGUGUGAUAAAUGAGGUGUGUCGAUAGAGAUACUGUGCUGCUUAGAUAAAACCUGUGUGAUAUGUUCACGUCCAUGGAGUACUGACCUUGGGUCCACCAUUUUUGCCUCAGGGGUUUCGGCGCUGGAGGGGACAGCCAAGUCCGAUGUGUCUUUCGUUUUGUUUGUCGUGUUUUUAGCGCCUUUAGCGGGUGGCUAGUCGUUAUUGCAUAAGUUUUAUUGUGUGCUGAAGAUAUUGUAGAAGCGCUGCUCUGGGUUUUGUUUCGUGAGAUUUUGUUGCUUUUGCAUCUUCACCACCGUCUACUAUUGUGAUGUCGCGAGCCCCGUCAAUAGUUAUUUCGCCAAGUUUCCCAUUCUCCUGCAACGCACUUCGAUAUUUCAUGAAUGCCUCGACGGAUGACUGUCAAGAAGGUGGCUAGCAAGAGCAGCCUCUUCGCCAGCGGCACACCCGUGCGCAUCUGCAAAAAUGAGAAAUUAGGGUAGACUCCAAGCUAUCAAUACUGUACUGGCAGUUCACAGGCCAGCUUUGCCUGUAGCUGUUUUCUAGUGGGUGAGAGCCUACUGAUCGCGAAAUGGAGGUAAACAAAUGGAACAUAACGCGCCACCGACCUUCCAGUACCAGAGGUUCAAUGUCACAGCUUUUCCACGAGAAUGCUGGCUAAAAGCUUGAUCAAACAAUUGAUAGAGACAGCUUAUACCCGGUGUAAAGCCAAUAUGCAUAUACGAAACCGCCGAUGAGGCUUUUGCGCAAGCACGAACGUCAUUAUGUAGUGGGAAUCAUACCCGAAGCAGUGGCUUGGUAUGUUAACUGCCAAAUGGUUCAGUAGUGUCGAGACCUGUGACGAUAGCUAAUUACGAGGUCGUCUUCUCGAGUGUAAUUAUUGUUUGUUUAACCAAGAACCCAGUACGGCCGAGCAACUUCCUUGUACAUUGUUCGUGCUAUUUGAUGAAGAACCGAAUAAUUUGUUAGUCUGCAACUACCUCUGGCAAAAACAAAAGUUCCGUCGCGUAUCGGUGUGAGCUGGUCAGCAUACUAAGACAAUAGUAGUGCUUGUAUGUGCCUGCAAAACACAGUAACGUAAUGUGGGUUGGCGUUUGACUUCUCCAGCAUUUCUUGAGCAAGGGAUUGGAUCUCGGACGCAAUCAAUUCCUGACCUUUAUGCCGCUACCAAGAUUUACCGUGAAGCAGUGUAAGAAGGGCGUAAUGCAGUUGAAAUGGUAUGAACGGGAUAAACCCCAUGUAGCUCUGCAAGAGAGACGCAUUGCUUUGUGUAUAGUUCAUCGAAACCUUUCCUUAGACAGCUGCCUACGCUGUCAACUCAUGUAGAGCUUUCUUGUGAUCCACUUCGAGCUUACGCACACUACUUGAGUCCUAUACUGGGUGUCGGCGACGUGGUUUUCAGGUGCUCAUGAUGCCCACGUCUAUGCUGCGCCAGGUUAGGAAUCUGCGCCACAGAUGUGUUCCUUUUGACAUUGACUCCAUCGUGUACUUUUCUCCUGCCUCUUCGCGCAACGAAUUGCUCAAGUGUCAAAGGUCAAGCAUCUUUUGUCGCGUAUACAGGCGGAGUGUCCGUCAAGUUCGUUCUCACACAUUCCAGCGUGAUUGCGUGAUGUCCGCGUUUGCGCCUUCGCAGCUUUUGUCUGUUUGCGUCUCAUCCCUGUUCCUUGAUUCCAUCUUUUGCAAAACCUUUGACGUAACAAUAAACCUUGGCGCCUUUCAAGCACAGCGUG